GCUCCACCCCUUCCUGCAGCACAUCUGAAUUGCCUUCACCUGUGCUCCUCUGGCUGACUCAUGGCUCGCCUCAGGUGAUCAAUCAGAGAUUCAGGCCGUGACUCAGCAGUUCCCAUACAGGCACUGUACAUAGGAAACCAUUUAAAAACCAAACCAGGGACACCUCAGCUCUUUAGCACCCGCAGUUACCUGUAGGGCAUUCAGGCAUUCCCCUGUGCUGUGCUCCUGCUUCCCCUCUCCUUUUUCCACACAGGUAGGUUCCUGACUGACCUGUCGCAUGGGAAUAAUGGUAAGCCUUAGUGAUUCACAGCUAGGAUGUGAGGAGCAUGCAGCUCUUUGCUCGCACUGUGAGGCAGUUAAUGCAAUUUGUGCUGUGUGGCUGAGCGAGCAGUUAAAACUGAAGCACGGAGCCAUCUGUUCCUCCAGCUGACAGCAGGCAUGGCGGGUAGCAGCUCGCUUCUGCUGGGAAGAAGCAUCUCACUGGCAUCAGGAAAAGGUCAGGAAAGUUUUGUUCUCCCACCUUUAUAACAAAUUCUUUUGGAUUUUCUUUUGGCACAGGCUCUGUGCUCCAGAGAUUUUUUUUUGGUCUGUGGUCAGUCUGUGGGAGGAAGGAAAUGGAAACGUGGCUGCAUUGACCAUCUUCUUUUUUCAUUUCCUACCUAGUUUUGGGGGAGACCCAUCAGAGUGACACAAAUGUUUUGCACUUCCCUUGCUUUGAUCAUCUUGCAAUGCUUCUUUAAUUGAGCCGAAGGCCACAAGAAGUAACUUCCCUUGAAAUCAGCUCUUAGAAGUCUUUUAAGAACUAUUUGCCAUUUUUCAUUCAUGGCAAUUACUAGAUUUCUGCUACAACAAAAAGCCAUUAUCUCAUUAGUAACAGGAAGACCAGGAAAAGGUCUGACCUGCUUCUCAGUGAAGAGGAAGAGCCUGUUACAGAUGAUAUUGAGGUACUGGGCAUCUGGUGCUUCUUCUCAUUUGUCCUCACUGAAAAAGAAUUACAGGGAACAGAUGACUUGUGCAGCUAACAUGAUCAGCAAAGGAAUAAGGUGAGCCUAAAAUAGAGAGAGAACAACCUGGGGAAGGCUUGAGACAACUGUUUUAAGAUGAGACAGGCCUGACUGUCUGCAGCUCUGCGUGCACAGAGAAUUGUCAAAAGCAAUCUCAGGAGUUCGGGUUGGAAUUUCUGAAAGCUGGUUGUGGACAGGCAAGGUACCAGCAGGCUGGGAAAAGUGGGAAGCAAAGCUUCUCUUUAAGAAGAGCAUGGAUUUGGGGGUGAAGCCAAGUUAGAGUUUUAUAACACAGUUCACAUCAGAUCAAAACUUCAAAAACUAUAUCAAAUGAAGCUCAUUUGUUUUUAGGAAUGAGUAGCCAGAGAACGUUGAUGUUCUCUAACUUGAUUUGCAGAUCUGUAAUGCUGUGGCACAAUAUUCCUAUUAGAAAAGCAAGGAAAGUACUUAAAGUCAUGAAGAAAAGAUUUGAUGGUAGACUACGUGGGUAAUAUACCUGGAGGGCAGCUGUCACAACUUUCUAUUAUAGGCUGUUCUCAAGCAAGUCUUUUAAUGGUUUUACAGAUAACUAGCGCUGGUCAAAGAAGCAUGUUUGUCUACUGUAGCAGAAAUGCUAGGUCACGGCUUAAAGUAGUGAUUGAGCACCUGGUAGGAAGGCAGGACCAAUUCAGGGGAGCUCAGGUGCAAGCAAUGUGCCUGAGUGACUGCACCUGGUGGAGUCAGGAUCCACUCCUUUCCAGACCUCAUUUAAGGGUUGGCAGUGGAAGCAAGGGUGUUGUGCUGGAGAUCCCUGCAUACCUGAGGUCUUCUAAGGGAAGAAAACCUGUUUCCUCAGAAUUCACUGUGCAACUGACUGGAAGAACGUGAUGGUCCUGGUGAACUGACUAGAAGAAUGUGAUGGUCCUGCUGACCCAUCCCAGAGACCUUCCUGUUUAGCUGUGGGAAGCCUGCAAAGGUUGUGCAGAAUUAGCACGAGUACUUUGUGCACACAGCUGCAGCUUUCAGCACGCGGGAGCCUCUGCAGCAGCUCCGCUUCCCCGAGAGGGGACUUCGCCAGAGGAAUGGCACUGGCAUGCAUUCAGAAGCCACACACCCACCCUCGCUUCCUACGCACGCUUUUGUACUGUCACCAUGCAUCAGCGUGGGAGCGCAGCUUUGCAGGUCAGAGCUGCUUAGACUCUGCUGAACGCGCCGCCUGAGUGCUUUUCUCUCGCUGUCCCCUGCUAGAAGAGUCUAUUUCCUUGAGCAAAAUGUAAGCCAUAUGGGAUAAUGCUUUUGGAAGCCUGGAAGUCAGAUCCUUUGAAUUUUUUGCUUUUCAAACUUAAUUUAUGCACAUAUGAAAGUAAAGCUUGUUUUCCUUUCUCUUCUUGUCUCUUUCCAAUCCAAACCAUAAAAAAAAAAUCUUUUCCAUUGAUGUUUGAAAAAUUAUUUUGAAAUUUAGAAAGAUAACCCCUGAAAAAUUGUUUUGACAAACAAUUUGAAAACAAGCCAUGAGCUUUAUUUUUUUUUCCCUCUAUCAGCUGUAUGAGGAAUAUGUCAAAAAUGUUGCUGUGUCUAGCAUAGUAUCAGCAGCAUGUGUUAGAACUGGCAAUAAAUCUUAUUUCUCCAGUGCCUGCCCAGUUCUUUAUUGAGAAAACGAUUCUUUCUCUUUGCAACUCAUUUGUUGCUGGGCAUGCCUUGGUUUCUAA